rnacentral:lncRNA from 1 species
AACCUGACAUUUAGCUUUCUUUAUUUUUAUUUUUAUUCCUUGUUUAAAACGUCUACUGCCUUCUCGUGAGAAUGGUGAUCAUGUAUGUUAAUGAUUUCAUUCGUGUAGCUCAUUUCUAAUUGGUUAAACUGAUGGUGUUGCAACUCACCCAAUGUUACAGCACUCCCCGGUCUCCCAUACUGGUUAAUCUCUGGUAAAGAUCUGCCAUUUGUUCCCAUACAGAAUGCACCGAAGAUACCCAUGGAUUGAUAUGAAGACUCGGCUCAUAUAAACGAGGUUCAGUCCAACUCGAUGACAUCUGGUUUUCAGACUGCUUGUCUCUACGGAAACACAGUUGAGGAACAUCUUGUCAGGAAUACUGGUGUCCAUGUGCUCCACUGUAUUCCACAGUAUUUUCCGGGUGCCAGGCUGCAUCACAGCUAUGCAGGCAUUCACUGGUCCAAAAAGAAGUUGAAACCAGCAAGACUCGUCAUCUUGGUUGACAGAGUAAUGCAACUUGGUGCCACUUGCUAAAAAUGUGCAGUGAUCAGGGAACAGAGAAUAAAAUUACAUGGUAAGUAGCCCUGUUUUCAUUAUUUGGAUAUCCUGAUGCUUUUUGUCACAAAAAUAAAAAUAAAAUAAAUAAUAUAUAUAUAUAUAUAUAUAUAUAUAAUAAAGUAAACAACGUUUUUUAAUUUUAGUUAUAAAAAAAAAAAAAUCAUGAUUUUCACAAAAAUAUUAAGCAGCACAACUGUUUGCAACAUUGAUUUAAAACUAUGAAAUGUCUCCUGAGCAGCAAAUCAGCAUAUUAGAAUGAUUUCUGAAGGAUCAUGUGACACUGUGAUCAUGGAAUGAUGGCGAAAAUUCAGCUUUACGUCACAGGAAUAAAUUUCAUAUUCAAAUUUCAAAUAGAAAACAAUUAUUUGAAAUUCUAAUUAUAUUCACACUAUUACUAUUUGGAUGUAUUUAAAUAAGUACAUUAAAAUACAUUAAAAAUCUUGGCCAUGG